AUGGGAAAUGUAGUGUCACCUUCCAAUGAUGUUACCAGGAAGGACCUUGGGAACCAGCUUUUCUGUCUGCUCAUGCGCCGCCCCGCCCACUCCACCAUUUUCCUCUGGAAGUGCUCAACCCUGAGGCGGUCCUGCGGCUGGGCAGGCUUGGGGCUUGGUUCUAUGUCCCUAUGGGUCGGUGUGAGGGCGAAGAGGGACCCGUGGGCCUCUGGGGAUCCCGGGGGGCCGGACCAGUGUUCCCUAGUUGUGGGAGCAGACGCGUGGGCGCAUCGCGGGCGAGCGAGGCCUGACGUGCAGCUAUGUUUCCAGUGUCCUCUGGGUGUUUCCAAGAGCAACAAGAAACGAAUAAAUCUCUGGUGAGUUGUUUAUUUGUUCUUCACUUUGUUUUACACUGUAUUUUCUGAGUUUAUGGGUGUCUGUGAAUUGAAAAGUAGAAAUAAGUAAAACUCAGGUUGAAGGAAAUAUACAUAAAUAAGAUAAAGCUGACCUGUAGAUAUAGGCAGGUUAUAAGAGCUUAGAGUUGUCUAAGUUGGGUGCAAAUUUUCCUCUGAUCUUUCUGAUGCUGAGACAAAAAAGGCAGUCAUAUUUGUUACGUGAUUGGAAUGGAACCCGAGAAGAGAGCAUGCUGUGUUCUUGUGGGACAGGAAAGUUUGUGUGCAACAAGUCUGAACCACCACCUUCAUUGGUGACAUAGAUUAUGUGCUGGAACAUAUUUCACACCGGCCUGGCAGUAAACACUUAUAGUGUUGUGCAGUGGAAACGGUCACCUUCCGCUAAAGCAUGGCGUGUUGUGCAGUGGAAAUGGUCAUCUGCCACUAAAGCACAGUUUCCAUCGUAAGGUAUGAUCCUUGCUCAAAGAGUGUGGUCCCAAACAGCUUUUGGGAGGUCCUCCUUGAUUCAUGGAUGAGACCCGGAACAUCCUGAGGACUGAGUUAACCAUAGGUCCUUAAAUAACUCUCCACACCUUUUUCUUAGUUUAUCUCUACAUGCAGGGUGUGCAGCAGCCUGUUCAAAGUCAUAUUUUCCGGGAAACAUUUCCAGUGUUUAUUUGCGCUUUAGCCCACUCUGUGUAGUCUUAACUUAUUUCUUCUAAACUCACCAUUAACCUAAAUAAUAGUCAAAUUUAGCGGGACUGUAUUUGUCUUACUCGAGUCUUCUACCAUAGUUGAAACUGUCGUACCUGAGUGAGUUAGAGAGAAACGCCACACUUUGAGACGAAUUCAGGAGUCCUUUAUUAGCCGAUGGCUGAGAGAUGGCUAACGCACGAAAUUCUCUCGGCCCGGAAGAAGGGAAUAGAUUUACUUUUAUACUUUGGUUUAGAGAGGGGAGGGGAGAUUCCAGCUGCAGCAACUUUACAGAAGAAAAAAACAGACAAAAAAGUUUAAAAGACAGAUGGAUACAGGAAAACAAACUGUUCCCGGUGCAGGGGAUUUAAAUUCACCACAAAGUGAUAGGUGAGGGGGCUCUGGGCGUUAUCUGCUGGACAAAUGUGGUGGCUUUAUGAUACUAUCUCUGAGUAAUUUGCUGGGAACUGCCGACAUCGCUUGCCUCAGCACUUUAUCAGUUAAUUGCACUCUUUGAUAUGUUGAAAAUCAGCUUGCGCCAGUUAAAGUCCUUGAGGAAAGGGGGUGGGUAGGGAGCCCUUGAUGUCUUGUAAAUGAAGGAGCCAAAUGGAGUUUGUCUGGUUUUCUCAGCUAAAGGAGAGUCUAUUCAUGUUAAAAACAAGGUUAGCUAUCUAAGGAAGAGUCUUUUCAUGUUAAUAAAACGUUGGGUAUUACAAACCAUCUGUUCAUGAUCUAGAAAUUCUUCUGUGUUAGUUCUGUUAAAAGAAAAACUUUAAAGGAGUUUAAUUGAGCAAUAAACGAUUCACGAAUCGGACAGUCCCCAGAAUCACAGCAGAUUCAGAGACUCCAGUGCAGUCAUGUGGUGGAAGAAGAUUUAUAGACAAAAGGGAAGUGGCAUACCGAAAUUGGAAGUGAGGUACAGAAACAACUCAGUGUUUGCCUUGUUUGAACACAGUUUGAACAUUUGGCAGUGCCUGAGUGGUUGAAGUUUGUCCAUUGGGAUUGGCCAAGAUGUAGCUGUUGUUCCAGGUGCAUACUCUUAAGUUAGUUUUUCAUUCUUGUAUACUUAUUAAGGUAGGUUGCAGUUCAUCCACAAGGACUCAUAUAUAGAAUUGUGGAGUCCUUCUCAGGCCAUACUUAGUUCACUUUAACAAUGCCUUCCCUUUGGUUAUUUUCUCAAUUUUGAGAGAUUGGCCAAAAAUUCAGUCACUGGUGUCACUAUUACCAUUGCAAAUGUACUUACUUGGUUUAGAAACCCACUGGGAAAUAGACCAGUGAGAUUUGAAAAGGUGGAACAAGG
ensembl:lincRNA